CUCGAUUCGUUAGAACAGCUUCCAUUGAGUCUCUACACCUAUGCUUUUCCUUUGUAUUCUAGUUCGAGAACCCCUUGUUUUCUCAAAACACGGAUUUGGCUCAUGAUUGCCCUUUAUAAUUCCAGGGUUUCUCUAAAUUUGAAUUAA
rnacentral:rRNA from 1 species